rnacentral:lncRNA from 1 species
AUAUAGAGGUGUGAAAGAGACGUUGAGAUGAUUUGCACGUCUAAAGAGUCGUUUAGAAUCCUUUGAUCAUUCACCAGUAAUCCUUUGUCUGAUUUGGGUGUAGUCCUUUGAAGAAUUAGCUUCAAAUUCAUUCCCAUCUUGAAGGCACAAAUUCUGCAGGCAUAGCUGUUGUCUUGUCUUGUAGCGUGGACAAAACAGAGUAGUGGAGGUAGUGGUUGUACACUUGUACUUUG